rnacentral:rRNA from 1 species
UUCGCCCUUAGAGUUUGAUCCUGGCUCAGGAUGAACGCUAGCUACAGGCUUAACACAUGCAAGUCGAGGGGAAACGAUAGAGAAAGCUUGCUUUUUCUAGGCGUCGACCGGCGCACGGGUGAGUAACGCGUAUCCAACCUGCCCACCACUUGGGGAUAACCUUGCGAAAGUAAGACUAAUACCCAAUGAUAUCUCAAGAAGACAUCUGAAUGAGAUUAAAGAUUUAUCGGUGAUGGAUGGGGAUGCGUCUGAUUAGCUUGUUGGCGGGGUAACGGCCCACCAAGGCGACGAUCAGUAGGGGUUCUGAGAGGAAGGUCCCCCACAUUGGAACUGAGACACGGUCCAAACUCCUACGGGAGGCAGCAGUGAGGAAUAUUGGUCAAUGGGCGAGAGCCUGAACCAGCCAAGUAGCGUGCAGGAUGACGGCCCUAUGGGUUGUAAACUGCUUUUAUAAGGGAAUAAAGUGAGUCUCGUGAGGCUUUUUUGCAUGUACCUUAUGAAUAAGGACCGGCUAAUUCCGUGCCAGCAGCCGCGGUAAUACGGAAGGUCCGGGCGUUAUCCGGAUUUAUUGGGUUUAAAGGGAGCGUAGGCCGGAGAUUAAGCGUGUUGUGAAAUGUAGACGCUCAACGUCUGCACUGCAGCGCGAACUGGUUUCCUUGAGUACGCACAAAGUGGGCGGAAUUCGUGGUGUAGCGGUGAAAUGCUUAGAUAUCACGAAGAACUCCGAUUGCGAAGGCAGCUCACUGGAGCGCAACUGACGCUGAAGCUCGAAAGUGCGGGUAUCGAACAGGAUUAGAUACCCUGGUAGUCCGCACGGUAAACGAUGGAUGCCCGCUGUUGGUCUGAAUAGGUCAGCGGCCAAGCGAAAGCAUUAAGCAUCCCACCUGGGGAGUACGCCGGCAACGGUGAAACUCAAAGGAAUUGACGG